GGGGGUUAAAAAUCAUGUGGAGCUUAUUUUUCACGGACACUGUCAAAUUCAAAAGUCAUGAACCCAUCACUGGUAUGGCUGAUUUGCAGCAACAACAAAACGAUUCAUACAGGUUAUGUAAAAGGUUGAAGAGAUUUGUAAAGCAAACGUUGACAAAUGAAAAGGUUUUUAAUGACUUUAUCUAGCAAAUUGAUGCUGUGCAACAUGCAUAUUUC
rnacentral:lncRNA from 1 species